GGUGGAUGCCAGGGUGUGGGGGUUGCUUGCAACNGCANGUAGNGCAGGNUAACNNCUUUGAGGCAUUCCGCNUGGGGAGUACGGUGGCNAGAUUAAAANUCNAAAGGAAUUGNNCGGGGGCCCGCACAANNGGUGGNGCAUNUGGUUUUAAUUCGAAGCAACGCGCAGAACCUUACCAUCCUUUGACAUGGCGUGUUACCCAGAGAGAUUUGGGGUCCCCUUCGGGGGCGCGCACACAGGUGCUGCAUGGCNGUCGUCAGCUCGUGUCGUGAGAUGUUGGGUUAAGUCCCGCAACGAGCGCAACCCACGUCCUUAGUUGCCAUCAUUCAGUUGGGCACUCUAGGGAGACUGCCGGUGAUAAGCCGCGAGGAAGGUGUGGAUGACGUCAAGUCCUCAUGGCCCUUACGGGAUGGGCUACACACGUGCUACAAUGGCGGUGACAGUGGGACGCGAAGGAGCGAUCUGGAGCAAAUCCCCAAAAGCCGUCUCAGUUCGGAUUGCACUCUGCAACUCGAGUGCAUGAAGGCGGAAUCGCUAGUAAUCGUGGAUCAGCAUGCCACGGUGAAUACGUUCCCGGGCCUUGUACACACCGCCCGUCACACCAUGGGAGUUGGUCUUACCCGACGGCGCUG
rnacentral:rRNA from 1 species